GGACAGCACCUCUUGCUCUGACGAGGUGGAGUUCCAAGAGUCCGGUUCCUCUGCAGUGGAGGAGGAGAUGCAGGAUAUGAAGGACGAAGCGGACUUCAUCUGUGAAAUUGAAAGUGCCGAUCAAGGAGAAGAGACGGAGGAGGAUGACGAGAAGAAAGAGAAAAAACAGCAUCAGGGGGAUAAGAGGAAGGCCUCCAGGAGGAGCAUGGAGAUUACACCAAGCAAGAGGCUGCGCUCCCCUGGGGUGACUUGGGACGUGAAGGUUACCCUGAGC